AACGCACAUUGCGCCCCUUGGUAUUCCGGGGGGCAUGCCUGUUCGAGCGUCAUUUCAACCCUCAAGCUCUGCUUGGUAUUGGGCCCUGCUGGCAACGGUAGGCCUUAAAAAUAGUGGCGGUGCCUUUAGGUCCUGAGCGUAGUACAUUUCUCGCUAUAGGUCCCUGAAGGUUACUGGCCAGCAACCCCAAUUUUUCUAUGGUUGACCUCGGAUCAGGUAGGGAUACCCGCUGAACUUAA
rnacentral:misc_RNA from 2 species